UGAUAGUGAGGAUGUCGUUCGAAUGCAC
rnacentral:sRNA from 1 species